rnacentral:rRNA from 1 species
UUAAGGGUGAAGUCGUACCAGGUUUCCGUAGGUGAACCUGCGGAAUGAUCAUUC